UUUGCUACUGGGAUGCUCUGUUGGAAAUGAGUAGGUCGUUGUUGUUACAAGAAGCCACAGAAAUAUUUAUUAAGAUGUAAGUGAGUGGACACUCCUAAGCAGGUCCUUGUUUAUUACUGUAUUAUUAUCAAGAUGGUUGUACUAUUUAAAGAAGCAUUCAGAUUUUCCUGACUGAACUUUCAGAUAACCUCAAAAUGAGAUACCGAGUCCCACUGAAAAAGUUGUGAAGAAGGUGAAUUGGGAGAAGAGGUGAAAUAGUAAGAGGACAUUUAAAUUUAAAUAUCUGGAGAGUAUCAUUUUCUGGUGGAUUGUAAAAUUCUACUGAGAACAAGACUUUCUAUUAUCGAUCAUGUUUCGUCUGGUACUACAAUUCUAUUUAUGGUGAGAACUCUAGUUUGUUAUGAGAAGAAGUCACGAACUACUGAGAAAUCGUGUUUCAUUCGAGCUCCUUUCUUCUCCAUUCUUAUUGUCAAGAUAGUCACCUCAGGUAUAGACAAACAGUUUGACGAUCCCUCAUUGCAGGCGAGAUUGGCAUUCAACAAAAGAUCAUAAAGACUCCACCUUAUUCAGAGUGUAGCCGAGUCUAUGAGUCAUCAUGUCAGAGUUUUACUACAAACUUAUGGGUUAGCUGAUACCCUGUCCCAUUUUAUGUCAAAUAAUCUUAGAGGCUUUGUAGA